GAACUGAAGAGUUUGAUCCUGGCUCAGAUUGAACGCUGGCGGCAUGCUUUACACAUGCAAGUCGAACGGUAGACCCUUUCGGGGGUUGAGAGUGGCGAACGGGUGAGUAAUGCAUCGGAACAUACCCAGUCGUGGGGGAUAACGUAGCGAAAGUUACGCUAAUACCGCAUGAGUCCUGAGGGAGAAAGCGGGGGAUCGCAAGACCUCGCGCGAUUGGAGUGGCCGAUGUCAGAUUAGCUAGUUGGUGGGGUAAAGGCCUACCAAAGCGACGAUCUGUAGC
rnacentral:rRNA from 1 species